GCUCAAUGAUUUUUUAAAUUGCUGUGGUAUUUUGACUAUACAAAGGUAUUGAAAUAAGAUUUUAAUUGAAUGCUAAGAGAAUGGAAUUACAGAAAAUAGCUUUUUUUAAAUUAAAAAUUGAAAUUUUUUUAAUUUGUGCAGAAACAAUUAUUAAUAUUAAGGACAAGAAGACCCUAUUGAAUUUAUAAAUUUAUAUUAUAGUAAUUAAUAUAAAAUAAAUUUUGGUUGGGGUGACAAAAAAAAAUAAAAAACUUUUUUUUUAUAAAAUGAUCCAUUAUUAAUGAUUAUAUGAAAAAUACUCUAGGGAUAACAGCGUUAUAUUUUUUGAUAGCUCAUAUUGACAAAAAAGUUUGCGACCUCGAUGUUGGUUAGGAUGCUUUUUUAAUGAAGAUAUUAAAAAAAGAAGUUUGUUCAACUUUUAAUUUCCUACUUGAUCUGAGUUCAGACCGG
rnacentral:rRNA from 1 species